UUUAUGGUGGCCCAGGGGUUAAAGCGUUGGCCUUGGAAGCGGGAGGUCUUGGAUUCGAUUUUCGGUCGAGAAAU